rnacentral:rRNA from 1 species
GAUGAACGCUGGCGGCGUGCCUAAUACAUGCAAGUCGAGCGGACGGACGAUAAGCUUGCUGCUCUGAUGUUAGCGGCGGACGUGUGAGUAACACGUGGAUAACCUCCCUGUAAUACUGGGAAAACUUCGGGAAACGGGCGAUAAUACCGGAGAAUCUUCUGAACCGCAUGGUUCAAAAGUGAGAGACGGUCUUGCUGUCUCUUAUAGAUGCAUCCGCGCUGCAUUAGCUAGUUGGUAAGGUCACAGCUUAGCAAGGCAACGAUGCAUAACCGAGGUGACUGAGUGGUCGGCCACACUGGAAGGUAGACACGGUCCAGACUCCUGAGGGAGGCAGCAGUCUGGAAUCGUACGCAAUAGUCGGAAGCAUGACGGAGUGACGGGAAGUCAGUUAUGAAGGUGUUCGGUGCGUGAAGCUGUGUUAUGAGUGAUGAACAUAUUUGUACGGAACUGUAGCCAUCUUGACGGUACCGAGUCAGGAAGCCACGGCUAACUACGUG